rnacentral:rRNA from 1 species
AUUGAACGCUGGCGGCAGGCCUAACACAUGCAAGUCGAGCGAGCGGCGGACGGGUGAGUAAUGUAUGGGGACUGCCCGAUAGAGGGGGAUAACUACUGGAAACGGUGGCUAAUACCGCAUACUAUCGGAUAACCCAUAUGGGAUUAGCUAGUAGGUGGGGUAAAGGCUCACCUAGGCGACGAUCUCUAGCUGGUCUGAGAGGAUGAUCCGGCACACUGGGACUUGGACACGGCCCCGAAUCCUACGGAGGCAGGAGUGGGGAAUAUUUGAAAAUGGGGGGAAGCCUGAAGCCGCCAUGCCGCGGGGAUGAAGAAGGGCUUAGGGUUGUAAAGUACUUUCAGCGGGGAGGCGUUACCCGCAGAAGAAGCACCGGCUAACUCCGUGCCAGCAGCCGCGGUAAUUC